UACAGAGGGUGCGAGCGUUAAUCGGAAUUACUGGGCGUAAAGGGCUCGUAGGCGGCCAACUAAGUCAGACGUGAAAUCCCUCGGCUUAACCGGGGAACUGCGUCUGAUACUGGAUGGCUUGAAUCCGGGAGAGGGAUGCGGAAUUCCAGGUGUAGCGGUGAAAUGCGUAGAUAUCGGGAGGAACACCGGUGGCGAAGGCGACCUGCUGGCCAGCGACUGACGCUGAGACGCGAAAGCGUGGGGAGCAAACAGG
rnacentral:rRNA from 1 species